UACGUAGGGGGCUAGCGUUGUCCGGAAUCAUUGGGCGUAAAGAGCGUGUAGGCGGCCCGGUAAGUCCGCUGUGAAAGUCGGGGGCUCAACCCUCGAAAGCCGGUGGAUACUGUCGGGCUAGAGUGCGGAAGAGGCGAGUGGAAUUCCUGGUGUAGUGGUGAAAUGCGCAGAUAUCAGGAGGAACACCGAUUGCGAAGGCAGCUCGCUGGGACGUAACUGACGCUGAGACGCGAAAGCGUGGGGAGCAAACGGG
rnacentral:rRNA from 1 species